UUGAGGUGAUGUGUUUGGUGUUGGGGGCUGUCGUGUAGCGGUGCUGGGUCGGGUGAGCCGGUUUGCCUCAGGACCGGGUAUAAACUGGGGAGAUGUGGCUGCUGAGGAGCAAGAUGUUUUUACAGAGCAUCUUAAAAAGCAUGUCUGACUCUCCAGGAAUUCCCGAUGCUGCUGUUCGCUGGUGCCUGAGGAAACAAGCUGCAGUGUGCAUGCCCCGCUCCUCCCAUCCUCCUCAAGUAGCUGCUCUCUAGCCUGGGUGUUGGGCACGAGUGGGGAAGGUAGGUGGGGGAGCAAACCCAGAACAACAGCUCUUCUAUGGGGCUGUCAGCGUGUAAAAUCAAGAGGAAAUCUUUAAGAAAGCAUGGUAAUGUGUUUGAUGUGAAUAAGGAAUUACAGCCUCCUUUCUCUCCUAGGAAAAUGAAAAUCUGAUGUAUGUGGAGGUUUCUAUUGCGUCCUUGCUACAAAAGGGCAGGUAUUUUAAAUUGCAUUAACUAAUAGGAAAAUCCUCUUGUAGCUGGUGUGUGACAUGAAUUGCAGUAAUUCAAUUAGUUACAAUUAUGUCUUUUUUUUUCUUAUUCUUUUUUUUCUUUCUAAAAGAGAAAGCCGUUGCCUAUGUGCCUCUGAAAUACAGGUAUGUGGUUCUGGUCAGUUUUACUUAACAGCAGCAAAGCCAUGGCAUUUCAACUGUCAAGCUAGGUUGUGGAAAUGACUACUGUGCUUAAUUCCAGUGGCAGCAAGCAGCUGUUUUUCUUGUUCCACCAUAAAAGGAGACUGGGCCCAGCCUCGAGGAAUUUCUCACCUGCAGUAGUUCCACAUCUAGUUUGUGGGGAAAGUUACUUAAAGCUCUGGGGCCUUUUUUCACUCCCAGUGUAUUCUUAUAGUCAACACACUCAAACAUUUUGCUACGAGUCUCCAAAUCACUGCAUUUGUUCCAUGUAGAAAAACCCUUUCUAAAUCUGUCUGUAUUUUCUCUCCCAAAACUAACACUCCCUAAGCAGCAAUGCAUGCAGAGAUACCAGUAUUGCAGGUUUCUGGGACUUGUAUUUUAGGUUUGCCCGUCCUGCUCUUAUGACAAACACUUGCACAGGGAAUGAGUGCAAUGCCACUGCUUGCAUUGCAUCUAAUUGUGCAAGUUUCAACCUGCUGUUUUUGCUUCUCAAGACAGGAGUCUUGCAGUUGCAAACAGUCCCUUACAGGUUAGAUCGGGCACUGAUGAAUAGAAGUUAGUACAUGUUGGCUGAUGGAAUUAGUCCUGCUACCUGUAAGGGUUGUGAGCUCCUGCUUCUAAGCUAUUAUGAUGCUUUAUCACACUGCUAGUUAUGUUGUAAUCCAGCAAGUGUUUGAUCUUUUACCUGCCCAGGCACUUCAGGCAUUUUUAAUUAUCUGAGGGUUAAUUUGUAUGGAAGCUCUUGCUGAAACAAUAAAUUCAUACCUCUGUUAUUAUUUGGUAUGAGUUUCUGUAUCAAUAUUUAUAUUUGGAUAAAGCCAGAGUAGUUUCCUACUAGCAUUAAGACAAAAGGGUUGCUUCAGAGCAAGUUCAGGAGUCAUCCAGCACCAAAAGCGUUUUCCCUUUGCAGGUAAAAGGCAAUUAUUAUAACAUGGUAGGAGAACACAUGCUCUGGUGACUUUUCUAUGCAGGGUUUAGGAGUUACAAAUGUCUCAUGAAAAGCACAUUUUGUAAGGCUUGACAAAUAGUGUUCACCUUGAGCCAAUGUGUUAUGUAUGUUUUAAAUGUUGGUAAUAAUGUUUUUGCAACUUGCAUUGUAGAACUUCAGUUCAACAGCUAGCUGUUUAUUCAUCUUGCUAAUGAAUUUAGUGCUUCAGUUUACAGGAGGAACUGCUAUUUAUGGCAAUACAUAAAGUAGAAGAAGGGUAAGAGGACAUACCAGGAGAUGAUCUCUCUCCCUGUGUUUUUCCCUUUACUACUGUCAUCCAGGCUUCCCCACCCCUCCAGUGUAAAGUGGAAAACAGAAAAGGAGGAGACUGAUAGCACACUAGGAGACAUAGAAAGUCCAUGCUCUUGCAGGGCAGUGGGAAGGAGGGCGGAAGUUUAGGAAGCUUGGCUGUACUUGCACUGGCAGCACUGCCGUAAGAUGGGAAACAAGUCUCUCCUGAGAAUGCAGUCCAGAUUCUCCCACCCUCCUCACUCACAUUCCUGCACUAGUUAUGAGGUAGUUGUAACAGAAUUGAGAGCAAUCCAUGUUAUUUCAUUUCUGCUUUUACUUUAGAAGCACUCUGAAGUGUGUAUAGUAUCUUCUGUCUGUGUUUCUUUAUAUGAUAAAUAAACUAAAUCCUAAAUAA